rnacentral:rRNA from 1 species
UACAGAGGUCUCAACCGUUGUUCGGAUUCAUUGGGCGUAAAGGGUGCGUAGGCGGUCGUGCAAGUCGGAUGUGAAAUCUCAGGGCUCAACCCUGAAACUGCAUUCGAUACUGCGCGGCUAGAGUGCUGGAGGGGAGACUGGAAUUUACGGUGUAGCAGUGAAAUGCGUAGAUAUCGUAAGGAAGACCAGUGGCGAAGGCGAGUCUCUGGACAGCAACUGACGCUGAGGCACGAAGGCGAGGGGAGCAAACGGG